rnacentral:rRNA from 1 species
CACAGAGAGCUUGCUCUCGGGUGACGAGUGGCGGACGGGUGAGUAAUGUCUGGGAAACUGCCCGAUGGAGGGGGAUAACUACUGGAAACGGUAGCUAAUACCGCAUAACGUCGCAAGACCAAAGAGGGGGACCUUCGGGCCUCUUGCCAUCGGAUGUGCCCAGAUGGGAUUAGCUUGUAGGUGAGGUAACGGCUCACCUAGGCGACGAUCCCUAGCUGGUCUGAGAGGAUGACCAGCCACACUGGAACUGAGACACGGUCCAGACUCCUACGGGAGGCAGCAGUGGGGAAUAUUGCACAAUGGGCGCAAGCCUGAUGCAGCCAUGCCGCGUGUAUGAAGAAGGCCUUCGGGUUGUAAAGUACUUUCAGCGGGGAGGAAGGGAGUGAGGUUAAUAACCUUAUUCAUUGACGUUACCCGCAGAAGAAGCACCGGCUAACUCCGUGCCAGCAGCCGCGGUAAUACGGAGGGUGCAAGCGUUAAUCGGAAUUACUGGGCGUAAAGCGCACGCAGGCGGUCUGUCAAGUCGGAUGUGAAAUCCCCGGGCUCAACCUGGGAACUGCAUUCGAAACUGGCAGGCUGGAGUCUUGUAGAGGGGGGUAGAAUUCCAGGUGUAGCGGUGAAA